rnacentral:rRNA from 1 species
UGAACGCUGGCGGCGUGCCUAAUACAUGCAAGUCGAGCGAACAGAUGAGGAGCUUGCUCCUCUGACGUUAGCGGCGGACGGGUGAGUAACACGUGGAUAACCUACCUAUAAGACUGGGAUAACUUCGGGAAACCGGAGCUAAUACCGGAUAAUAUAUUGAACCGCAUGGUUCAAUAGUGAAAGACGGUUUUGCUGUCACUUAUAGAUGGAUCCGCGCCGCAUUAGCUAGUUGGUAAGGUAACGGCUUACCAAGGCAACGAUGCGUAGCCGACCUGAGAGGGUGAUCGGCCACACUGGAACUGAGACACGGUCCAGACUCCUACGGGAGGCAGCAGUAGGGAAUCUUCCGCAAAGGGCGAAAGCCUGACGGAGCAACGCCGCGUGAGUGAUGAAGGUCUUCGGAUCGUAAAACUCUGUUAUUAGGGAAGAACAAAUGUGUAAGUAACUAUGCACGUCUUGACGGUACCUAGUCAGAAAGCCACGGCUAACUACGUG